AGCGAACGCUGGCGGCAGGCCUAACACAUGCAAGUCGAGCGGACGUAGCAAAACGUCAGCGGCAGACGGGAGAGUAACACGUGGGAACGCGCCCUUCGGUUCGGAAUAACUCAGGGAAACUUGGGCUAAUACCGAAUACGCCCUUACGGGGAAAGAUUUAUUGCCGAAGGAACGGCCCGCGUCCGAUUGGCUUGUUGGUGAGGUAACGGCUCACCAAGGCGACGAUCGGUAGCUGGUCUGAGAGGAUGACCAGCCUCACUGGGACUGAGACACGGCCGAGACUCCUAGGGGAGGCAGCAGUGGGGAAUAUUGGACAAUGGGCGCAAGCCUGAUCCAGCCAUGCCGCGUGGGUGAUGAAGGCCCUAGGGUUGUAAAGCCCUUUCACCGGGGACGAUAAUGACGGUACCCGGAGAAGAAGCCCCGGCUAACUUCGUGCCAGCCGCCGCCGUAACAC
rnacentral:rRNA from 1 species